GGGGGCUUAGCUCAGUGGUAGUAGCAUUAGAUUCCAAAUCUAGGGGUCGCAGGUUCAAUCCCUGCAGUCCUCA
rfam:Bodo saltans strain Lake Konstanz genome assembly, contig: BS_scaffold807